rnacentral:rRNA from 1 species
AAACCAGCACCUCAAGUGGUCAGGAUGAUUAUUGGGCCUAAAGCAUCCGUAGCCUGCUCUGUAAGUUUUCGGUUAAAUCUGUACGCUCAACGUACAGGCUGCCGGGAAUACUGCAAAGCUAGGGAGUGGGAGAGGUAGACGGUACUCGGGAGGAAGUGGUAAAAUGCUUUGAUCUCUCGAUGACCACCUGUGGCGAAGGCGGUCUGCCAGAACACGUCCGACGGUGAGGGAUGAAAGCUGGGGGAGCAAACCGGAUUAGAAACCCGGGUAGUCC